AGAACCUAGUGGAGCCACCCUAGAGAAUAAGGAGAGGAGCAACUGGAACUGAGUGUUGGCUCCAAACUUCCACGGCAUGAUAUGCUUGGCCACCCAAUUGUGAUCAGGGCCAUUGUUGUUCCCCUGGGGGCAGGGGGCAGAGGGCAGGCCGCCGCUCGGAGUAAAAAGGGAAGACAGACAGGCAGUCCAAACACCACCAAAUGACAGAGAUGCAGACCAAGACAAAAGGAAAAAACAACAGAAGGGAUUUUUGUCCUUGAGACGUGCUAUGCAAAUUCUUUUCAAUUAGUUUCCUAUUAAUGAUUCCAUCUUGAACAUUUAGAGCUGCUCAACCCAGGCAGCAUCUACGUUUUGAAGUAGUAAGUUCUCCAUUCCUAGCAGAGUCGGAGGAGAAGCUCAGCUGUUAUCCACCAGAAAUUCUAUUAAAAGGAUGAAAGGUUGAACUAGAUGACUUCUCAUUCUGAAGACUGUAAUUCAGCAGAACUGACUAAUCCCUGGCAAAUGAUACCCUUUCUGAGUAUGCAUGUGUCACUGAAAGUCACUCAGACAAACCAGACUAUUUGUAAAUAGGUCUGAUUAUCUGCAAAUUAGUUGAUUGAAGGUUCCCGGGUAUCAAGCAGGGCUUAUUUUAAGAAAUUAAGUUAAUUUAGAUAAUAGCUGUGUUGAAAAGCAACAAGUUCAAAAACAAUUAAAAAGAAUGCAGCUUCCCUUUUAUUUUUUUCAACUCUAUAUUUUCUUUUCAAAUUGCUUCUAAUAGACCAUCUGUUAAGAAAGCCUCUUUUGACCGGGUGCAAUGGCUCACACCUGUAAUCCCAGCACUUUGGGAGGCCGAGGCAGGUGGAUCACCUGAGGUCAUGAGUUCAAGAUAGCCUGAGCAACAUGGUGAAACCCCGUUUCUACUAAAAACACAGAAAUUAGCUGGGCGUCGUGGCACGCGCCUAUAAACCCAGCUACUCUGGAGGCUGAGGCACAAGAAUUGCUUGAACCCGGGAGGCAGAGGUUGCAGUGAGCUGAGAUAGCACCAUUACACUCCAGCCUGAGAGACAGAGCAAGACUCCAUCUCAAAAAUAAAAAAAAGAAAGGCUCUUUCGUAAAUUACUUAAAUAUGCUUAGAAGUCAUUAUUACUUUUUAAGUCAAUAGAAGUCUUUUUAGUUUAUCUAAUAGCAUAUUAAUUCCUAUGCUUUAUGUGUUUGUACCCACACAACACCCAGCCCUGCACCUAACACAUAACAGGUGCUCAAUAGAUGUUCAUUGAAUAAAUUGGUUGCAAAAACCGAGUGUAUACAUUGAACAUUUCUGCAUAUUGGUGAUAAUAAUAGUAUUUUGAACACUUGUUCUAUGCCAGUGACUGGGUCAAAUAAACACUCAACCUCAUAGUAAUAUCUGCGAAGUGAUUGCUACAUUAGCCCCAUUUUACAGAUGAUGCAACUGAGGCUGGUGAGAGGCAGAGCCAGGAUUCAAGGCCAGGCCUGUCCAACUCCCGAGCCGAAGCUCUCAGCGAGGGUAUCAAACUGAAUCUGAAUCCUCUUAGUUUAUCUAUUUUAAAGUGCUGCAUGUGGUAUGUUCAGGAGACGAAAACUCUCUGAUGAGGCACGUGUGGAUGGGAUGGCAGGGCUGAGAAGGCCGGCUCCCCCACGGGGUGUGCACAACCUACCUCCCCAGCUGUUUCUGCUACCGGCUGGGGCCUUCAACUCCACCGCCUCCCCUCCCCCAGGCCCUAAAUCACUCUCAGGCCUUUUGUUCUUCCCCACAGCUGCUCAGCAAAUUCCUUGAUUUGAAAUUACGAUCACAGGUUGGAGUGCUACUUAAAAUAAUUUUGCCAAAUGUUCCAUCUCUCUGUGUUGAUGAAUAUAAUGGAUGACAAUUUAAAGAGCAAAAAAAAAAUCUCUGCAUUUAAUGAGGAAGUGCUGUCAGCAGAAAGGAGAGGAAGCUUCACCCCGACCAUCCGCAGGACCCACAUCCCUCUCAGCGGGAAGGCAGAAUCAUUCAUCUAUUGCUCUCCUUGAAGGGCAGCUCCAGACACUCACGUGGACACAAGUAGGAAAAGCACAGAGUGUGUCAUCACACUGUGUACCUCAUACAGGUGACGUCCUGGAGAAACCUCUGGAAAAACAGAAAUUUUAUGACCCACAAUUAAAAUGAUUUAAGUAAUAAAUAACCCUGAUAGCUUGCCCCA
rnacentral:lncRNA from 1 species